GCCAAAAUAGUUGCAUUAAUUUUUAUGUCACUGCUUAAAACAGGUUGUAAAAAUGCCUACCAGGUUUUACAAUAUUACAUAAAUAAUAAUUAAAACUAAGACUCUUUGUCCUUACUUAGAAAUUAAUGAUAGAAUGUUAGGUUUCAUUAUUUUGUGUGUGUAUAUAUAUAUAUGGAUUUUAUUAGUUGAACAAUAAUUGUGCGUUGUAUACCCUUGUAUACUUCUUCACACAUCUAUUUGGAUAAUCAGGCUGAAUGAUAAAUAUGUAGGGAGAUUGAUAAUGUUCUUCCACUUCUGCCUUGACAAAAAUAUGUGAUGUGUCUAGAUAAUAGAUGGUAUGGGUUGCUCAGUUAAGAAACUCACAACCACGAGUUCCCUUGGUGGCGCAGUGGUUAACGAAUCCGAUUAGGAACCAUGAGGUUUUGGGUUCGAUCCCUGGCCUUGCUCAGUGGAUUAAGGAUCCGGCAUUGCCGUGAGCUGUGGUGUAGGUUGCAGACGUGGCUCGGAUCCUGCUUUACUGUGGCUCUGGCAUAGGCUGGUGGCUAUAGCUCCGAUUUGACCCCUCGCCUGGGAACCUCCAUGUGCUGUGGGAACAGUCCUAGAAGAGGCAAAAAGACAAAAAAGAAAAAAAGAGAAGAAACUCACAACCAUCUGAUCAGUACACAUGUCCGUUGAAACUUAGUUUUCGAAAUAUUAUGUGUACAUAAAUAGCACAAAGAAUGAAUAUGUUCUGGAGCCUACAAACAUAGACAAAAUCCCCCCUCCAUUUUUCUAACUUUUUUAAAGUGUGUUAUGUCCAUGCAUAAUGUGUUCCAUGUAAGUGAAAACUGAGAGGUGACUUUACUUUCAAGCUGCAGAGUAUGACCCAUUAGCAAGUCACAUUAGAAGUUUAAAUGUUGAUGACAAGCAUUAAAAAAUAGAGUAAAAAAAAAUAGAGUAAAAAUACACCCUCAUAGGAAUGAUUAUUGCUUUGUGAAACUUGCAUUUUAGUGAAACAUGUACAUGCAUACAUUCAUAUGUGCAAAUGUGUUCAGAAGUUCACAUUGCAGAGUGCAUUUCUUCACUGUGGGUUGAAAAGUCUAUGAAAGUUGCUGGUCCAGGAGAGGAACCAGCAACUUGACAUAGUAACAGCAAAUGAACUAAAUCCCCAUUUGAGAAGGUUAAGAUCUUAGAACAGUGUUCUUAUCUCUGCUCAUUAUUAGAACUAUCUGAGACAUUUUGAAACAUACAUAUGAAGGGCCUUUAAUCAGAUCAAGUAAGUCCCAACAACAUGUGGUGUGGGACCAUGUAGAUGCCUUUUGGUUAGAGCUCUCAGGGGAUUAGAACAUUGAAAAACCUCUACUGUAGAAUAGCAAUCAUGAUGACUUAAAAAAAAUUUCUUUUUGCUUUCACUUUGUGAUCUUUGACAGUUGAUAUCUUAAGGUUUGAGGAGAUUUAGACAUCAAAAACUGCAACUUAAUAACUGACAAGGGAAACGAAACAAGUAUAAAAAUUGUUUAAGGGAUUUAUAUAUGUUAUGAAUAUAUUACAUUCUGUGCUUAUACAAAUUUUUGCUUGUAUCGGUCAAUGAGAGGAUUAUCAUAGACACAAGCAAACAGUUAACUGAUCAAGAGUAUAAGUAAUGGAAACAUUAAGAAUAUUGUAAUUGAUUUUCCAUUUUCUUUCAAUAAAUUGGAUGUUAGCUCAAGUCAAACAAUAAUUAAAGAUCUUUGGUGGGGUUUAUUUACAUAUUUUUUGUGUGUUUUGUAAGUUCAUAAUUUCAUCUUUCUUUUUUUUAACCUGAAGGUCAGCUUUUCUCUUACAAAUCCUCAAUGCUUAAUUCAAUUUCUAGCAUUAAUGCAGAGAUGUGCAGAUAUUAAGGGCACUGGAUACCUGUGAGAAGUAAACUUAGCCUCUUAUGCUUGCCCUCACCGUCUCUACCUGCUACCUAUUGUCCUGUCUAUCAGGUCGCUCAAGUUUGGAGAGAAAAGCAGUGCACCUAAGUGAAUGAGUAGAUGUGGACUCAGUGUUCUUUUUCCUGAUGCUGUUUGUUUUGUUCUGCUUAAUUUAGCUGCUCUUUGGCUUGUAACUCUCAAAGUCAGUGGAAAGUCAAAUUCAGAGAGGAUCUAAAUGAUAUAAACAAGUUUGACCAGCCCAAGUGAUGUGAAUAAGUUUGACGUCUAUUUAGAAUGUGUGAGCAGGAGCAGGAUAUGCAAGGCUAACUUCGCAGCCUUAGUGCUGAUCAUUUUCAGUAACAGAAGGUCAGUUUUCAGCAGCACAUGUGGAAAUAUAAAACAAACAUAGCAAAAAUUUGAAAGGAAAUAAUUUCAAAAUUUGUAUAUUAAUUUGACAAAGUUCUGACAUUUAUUCUGUAGUCUUUUGGGGAUUUGUGCUUUUUGCCUUUGUGCUAACUAUAACUGAUAUAUGCUUCAUGAAAAAUUAAUUGCCAAAUUUCUAAUUAAAUGUUGAGUUGGUGGUUUCAAUAACUGCGGUAAAACAAUUCAUCUCUUUCAUCAAAAGUAAAAUUAUCUUUAUAGAAUUAAAUGGGGAGUUCCCAUCGUGCCUCAGUGGUUAGCAAAUCCGACUAGGAACCGUGAGGUUGAGGGUUCGAUCCCUGGCCUCGCUCCAUGGGUUAAGGAUCUGGUGUUGCUGUGAGCUGUGGUGUAGGUCGCAGAUUCGGCUCAGAUCCCACGUUGCUGUGGCUGUGGCAUAGGCCACUGGCGGGCACAGCUCUGAUUCGAUCCCUAGUCUGGGAAUCUCCCUAUGCCAAGGGAGCAGCCCAAUAAAUGGCAAAAAAGACAAAAAAAAAAAAAAGUUAAAAAAAAAAA
ensembl:lncRNA